CAUUCCUUUCAACUACCAUAACUUCCUCAUCCGGGCUCCAAUCGCCGCACCGUUCGCGGCCACGCACUCAGCGCGUCGAGCUCUACCUUUCUAUCUGAACAAUUUUACUGGUUCAAGUUAGCUUCCGGAAUUUGUGGGCUCAAGCUAUUGAGCAUAUGGGUAUGGUGUAGGUUAAGUGGGUGUUUAUGCAUUGGAAUUGAAUUGGGGUCACUUGGAGGUUUGUUGGUGACCAAGGCUUGCUUUGAGGCUGUUUGAUUGAGCUUGGAAGGGC